AGCCAUCCUUUCUUCAUUUAAGUUCUUAGCUGACUUCAGUUGACCGAAUCUUAACUCUGGUCGAGGUCUUGAUCAACUUCGGUAAAUUGAACCUUAACUUCGGUCGAGAUUGCAUUGUUCUUCCAGUGAGUACUUGGCUCCCUUGUUCCACUUCGGUUGUGGGUUUCCAACUUCGGUCGACCGAAAUUGGAUUUUGGUCGUUAUUGCUAUGUUUCUCUAGUGAGUACUUCUUUCAAUUGUUUGAGCCUCUGUUUCACUUCGGUUGUAGAGCUUCAGCUUCGGUCGAUAAGUUCGGUCGAUCGAACUUGUGACAGUAGUAUGCAGCUGUUAUACUCUUUUCUUAACAAACCAAAGCCGUUAACUAUCCAACAUAAGUUUAUGUGUUGGUUUAAUUCUUCUAGUAAUUUUAUUUGUAUAAUUACUUUGAAUAUGACUUUUAGAAGAUUAUGAUUAUUAUACUGUUUCCUUAACAAACCAAAGCCGUUACCAACAUGAGUUUAAGUGUUGAUUUGACUCUUCUACUAAUUUUAUUUGCAUAAUUACUUUGAAUAUGACUUUUAGAAUGCUACGAAUUUCAUUAUGAUCAUAUGUAGACUUAUUUUUAAGAGCACUCUUGUUUCUUUUCAAGAAUAUGAAAUAGUCAUAUGAAUCCUUUAAAUUCUAAGUUUAUUUAUCAAUCUAUGCAUGUAUGUUUAAUCGUAAAACAAACAUGUUUAAGGCAUUUUUGAGUUAAUUAACUAAUUUAACAUAUGUGAAUUUAUUUGUCAUUCCUAAAUACGAUUUUCACCAAUAGUUUGAAUCAAACUUAUUGUUAACAAGUGUUAUCAUCAAAAUUAAAUAUGUCAUUAUUUCAACAAAUGGUUCAUUAACUAAUUCUUUGUAUGUUGAAAUAAUCAUCAACCUAAUCUUAAAAGGGGUUUACGAAUGAAUCAAAAUUUCAUACAACAACAAACCAAAUUUGAGCUUAGCUCAAGAGAUUGUACAUAAAUUGGCAAAAACAUAAAGAAUUACUGAAAUGAUGUGGUAAUUCACAAUUUUUAAGAAUGUGGUGUUACGUAACUAGAAUUAAACUAUUAAAUAUAGUCAAGGAACUUGAUUGUAUGCGCCUGAUUGACUUUUAAUAUGAUCCACAAUUAACCGAGGUUAAAUCUACACUAUAUUUUAUCCUCUCUCCUUUUCAAAAUGACUUUCUAAUAUUUCUUUUCUUUGCUCAUUAAAAUGGCACAUAGACCUAUUAAAAUACGACACGCAAUGGUGAAUAUUUUAUUUUGGAAGAAGGGGCUCAAAAUCACAUUGUUAGUUCUUCAUUAAAAUCGUGGAAAAAAGUUUUAUUUGCACAGUAUAACCCAGCUACUCCUGGUGACUCUACACAAAAUCUUCCCAGCUAGCUCAAAAAUUAUCAUGCCCUUGGCACUAUCAAUUUAAUAUAAUUUGAACUACUUCAUUUUCAAUUAGGAAAGUUUCUUAAUUAGUUGUCUAUAAUAGGUCAUGUUGACUAUAUUGAUUUUCUCAUUAUUCUACUUUAUUUAGUUUUUCUUGUUUAGAAUAUAGGCUGUAAUAUAUAUUAAGAGGACAAUGAUUAAUAAAAUUAAGCCUUUACAUAUUUCUUUUUGGUAUCAGAACCAACUAAACCCUAGCCUCCAACACUGCCUUCACAAUAGCCUAAACCCUAACCCACUAGCCACCAGCCAUAGGCCAACAACAGUCCUGCCUCUAUGCAUUCCCUGUGCAACCCAGUCCAACCAACAAUCACCAGACUCAACACUUGUAACAUCCUCUUCCCUUGUGCAGCCACCACUGCAGUCACCAGCAGCCCAACCCAACCCUCACACACAGAGCCCUUGCACAACAAGUCAUCUCGUGCAUAACCAUGCUUUGUACAGUCCAUCCUUGCGCCGUCUAGCACCGUUCAGGCCUUGCACAGGCAAGCUCUUGCACAGUCGCGCAGUCUAGCUUCGUUCAAGCCUCACACAGGCCAACGCAUACACCAUCAAGCAGUCCUGUAGGCCAGCCCAUGUGCCAUCCAGUAGCAUCAUAGUCCAGCAUAGCCGCAUAUUCCAGCAACCCCUACAUCGUCUAGUAGUCCUAUAGGCCAUCCCCUGCACUGUCUAGUACAUUUAGCAGCCGCGCAAUCUAGCACAGCCACACAGUCUAGCAACCAGUAGCCCCAUAAUCCAACAACCAGUAGUCAGUAGUCUAGCGCAGCCAUCAGUUGCACAGUGCAAUUCAGCCUCCAGUCAUUGCGUAGUCUAGUGUAGCCAGCAGUAGCUGCUCGUGCAGUCCAUAUAUCGUGAAGUCUAUAUGUCUGAUAGUAUGACACUUUAAAAAAAAUAUAUUCUCCUUUGAUUUCCUAAGAUUGAUUCUUGGUGUUACGUUGAUAGUUAACCCAGUCAAGGAGGUUGCCCCAGCCCAUAUGGUUUUGUGCCCAACUCCUAUCUACCUAUCUUUUAGUCCCACGGACGCUAUAGUUGCAGGUACUCUUAUCGCUUUUCAUGAUAAGUCAAGUCACCCCACUUGAAUUCUGAAUUUUGGAGCUAAUAAUAACAUGACUGGUGAGCUUUCUACUUUUACCUCUUCUAUUAGUUUCAUAAAUCAAUCUGUUUGUAUUGCUGAUGGACCAUCUAUUCCCAUUUAUAGUCAGGGUGAUGCCCACUUUUCCACAGAUAUUACUCUUUCCUCAAUUUAUUAUGCUCUGAAUUUUGCCUAUAAUUUUCUUUCUGUUAGUUGUCUUGCAAAAAACCUUAAUUGUGCCGUUGUAGUCUUACCAUCUCGUUGUUUCUUGCAGGACUUGAUUUCGAAGAAGAUUCUUGGCAGGGGAUAUGAGAGUGAUGAACUGUACUACUUUGGGGAUCCGCCAACAUCUAUUGCUUUGUCCUUCAAUCUUCAAGCCUCUACUCUACCAGUCUUAGAGCCCUCCAUUUUAAGUUAGUCUAUAUUAAAUUCGUUUGUUUGUUCUAUUAAAACUUUAAAUUAGUGGCAUGCUCAUUUAGGGUAUGCAAUUUUUUUGUAUUUAUGUUGCCUUUUCUCCCAUCUUAAAAAGGCAUGCCAGAAAGUUACUUUUAAAUGUUUCAUUUGUGAAUUGUCUAAACAUACUCGCACCUCUUAUAUUUCACGCAUGCAUUGUGCACCGAGUGCUUUUGACCUUAUUCACUCAGAUGUAUAGGGCCCGUCUCCAGUUACUUCUUUCUCUUAACACCAUUAUUAUAUCACCUUUAUGGAUGACUACACUAGGUGUACUUAGGUCUACUUGAUGCGCAAUAAAUCCGAGGCCUUUUUCCACUUUACUUAUUUUCUACAAAUGAUCAAAGGGGUAUUGGUGUUAUGAUCCUGUCACUUUUGAAAACUGUUCCAUUCUUCUCAGGUUCUCCAUUUUCUCUGGGCCAUGCUUCAAAGCUGAUUGUGGAAGAGGGCUCUACACCUCCACGUCCGCUUCCUAUACUUGAGUCUCCUCCAAUAUCGCCCAGUGACUCUUUACCCUCGAGUGUUACUACCGACCCCUCAUAGGACUACCCUUAUUAUUCACACGCUCCAGCUCCCCUGCCAACAUCUUCUACGAAUUCAAGUAUCUCUUCUCCUUUAGUUUCUAAUAUACCUCAUCUCCGUUAUCCCACACGUGUUCGUUGUCCCCCUCCCCCCAUUUUCUUCUUUCAAAUAGUACUAAUCACUCUAUUGCACAAUAUCUAUCUUACCAAGGUCUUUAAGACUCCUAUCAGUCUUUUUUGAGUCAAGUGGACUCGGUCUCGAUUCCUCGCUUUGUCCAUGAAGCUCUUUAGAAUCUCUGAGGGUUUCUGCAAUGAAAGCCGAAAUGGAUGCUAUUCAGCACAAUCGAACUUGGGAUCUUAUUGCUUUGCCGAAAGGAGAUCGCACUGUUGGGUUAUAAAUGGGUGUUCAGUGUGAAGUAUUUGGCAGAUGGUUUGGUUGAUCGAUAUAAAUGGUUUUGUUGCUAAAGGCUUUACUCAGAUUGCAUGUAAAGAUUUGGGUGCCACUUUUGCCCUAGUUGCCAAAUUAAACACUAUUUGCCUUCUGAUUUUUCUUGUUGCUUCUUAUUCGUGGCUUCUUCACCAAUUGGAUGUCAAAAAGGCUUUCCUUAAUGGUGAUCUUUCUGAGAUUAUAUAUAUGGAUUUACCUUUAGGUUUUUGGACUUAGGGGGAGUAUUCGGAAAAUGUUUGUCGCCUCCAAAAAUCUAUCUAUGGCUUUAAGUAGUCUCCUUGGAUUUGGUUCUAUCACUUUGGUAAGGUAGUCUUGUCUAUGAGGUUUGUUCGGUGCCACUCAAAUCAUACUUGCUUUAUUCGUCGCCAGUCUUAAGGUCGGUGCAUUAUUAUCUCAGUUUAUGUUGAUGAUAUUAUUAUCAUGGGAGACGAUAUUUCUGGUAUUGUUCAGGUAAAAUGUAGGCCUAGGAAAGCUUUUGACAUUAAGAAUUUGGGUCCUCAUCGUUACUUCCUUGGUAUUGAGGUUGCUCGAUCUCGCCAUGGUAUCUUUCUCGUAGCAGAAGUAUUCUCUUGACCUUCUUCAGGAUACGGGCAUGCUUGGGUGUAGACUUGCAUCUAUGCCCAUAGUAACAAAUUUGAAGAUAUCAGCUGAGUCAAGAGAAUUGUUACAAAAUCCAUCUAUCUAUUAGCGACUUGUGGGUUGCCUCAUUCACUUGACGAAUACAAGACCUGAUCUCACAUUUGUUGUUAGUGUUGUGAGCUAGUUUAUGCACUCGCCGCAUAUCUCUAAUCUAGAUGUUGUGUAUUAUAUUCUCCGAUACCUUAAGACGUGUCUUGGUCUUGGGUUGUUCUAUAAGUCUAGAGUCCAUUCGGGCCUCCCAUGCUUUACAGAUGUUGACUAUGCGGGGUCUAAGAGUGAUAAAUGCUCUACUUUUGGCUUAUGUACUUUUUGUGGUAGUCAUCUCAUAUCUUGGAAAAGUAAAAAGCAAGCGGUUGUCUUUAGGUCUUCUGCUGAAGCUGAGUAUCAUGCCAUGGCUCAGGGCACAAGUGAGGUUCUUUGGCUUCAAUCUC
rnacentral:lncRNA from 1 species